AAGUGAGAAGCAAAAUUUGCAAUCAGUUUCGACCUGAUCUUAGAUAAUACUUUUAUCCUUACUUU
rnacentral:tRNA from 1 species